AUGGCGCAGCCGCUUGUUGUGAAGAAGGACGACGACUUAGACGAGGAAGAGUACUACUCGCCGUUCCUCGGCAUCGAGAAGGGCGCCGUCCUGCAGGAGGCCCGCGUCUUCCACGACCCGCAGCUUGACGCGCGGCGAUGCUGCCAGGUGAUCACCAAGCUUCUAUAUCUGCUCAACCAGGGUGACACCUUUACCAAGGUAGAGGCUACAGAGGUCUUCUUCGCUACGACCAAGUUGUUUCAGUCCAAAGAUGCUGGACUUAGGAGGAUGGUGUACCUCAUGAUCAAGGAACUCUCGCCGUCAGCGGAUGAGGUUAUUAUUGUGACAAGUUCUCUGAUGAAGGAUAUGAAUAGCAAGACUGAUAUGUAUCGUGCAAAUGCUAUAAGAGUUCUUUGCCGCAUCAUUGAUUCGACUCUUCUCACCCAAAUUGAGAGGUAUUUGAAGCAAGCUAUCGUUGACAAGAACCCUGUUGUUGCCAGUGCGGCUCUUGUUAGUGGUAUUUACCUGCUUCAGACAAGUCCAGAAGUUGUGAAAAGAUGGAGCAAUGAGGUUCAGGAGGCUGUACAGUCGAGAGCUGCUCUUGUUCAGUUUCAUGCCCUUGCUCUUCUUCACCAAAUUAGACAAAAUGACCGGUUGGCUGUUAGCAAGCUAGUCACUAGUCUGACAAGGGGUUCAGUUCGCUCACCUCUGGCCCAGUGCCUACUUAUUCGGUACACUAGCCAGGUUAUUAGAGAGUCAGGCAUGAAUACACAAGGUGGAGACCGCCCUUUCUUUGAUUUCCUGGAGUCCUGUCUCCGGAACAAGGCAGAAAUGGUCAUACUUGAGGCUGCGCGAGCAAUAACUGAUCUAAAUGGUGUGACCAGCCGUGAGCUUACACCUGCAAUCACGGUGCUGCAAUUGUUCUUAAGUUCAUCCAAACCUGUGCUUAGAUUUGCCGCUGUUCGCACACUUAACAAGGUUGCAUCAACUCAUCCUUUGGCCGUUACAAAUUGUAACAUUGAUAUGGAGAGUUUAAUCUCUGAUCAGAACAGGAGCAUCGCAACCCUUGCAAUUACCACACUGCUCAAGACAGGCAAUGAAUCAAGUGUUGAUCGUUUAAUGAAACAGAUGACCAACUUUAUGUCAGACAUAGCCGACGAAUUCAAGAUUGUUGUUGUAGAAGCAAUUAGAUCCUUGUGCUUGAAGUUCCCCCUCAAAUAUCGCUCACUGAUGAACUUUUUGAGCAAUAUCCUACGUGAAGAGGGUGGAUUUGACUACAAGAAAGCUAUAGUUGAUUCAAUUAUCAUACUAAUUAGGGAUAUUCCUGAUGCUAAAGAAAGUGGUUUAUUUCACUUAUGUGAAUUCAUCGAAGACUGUGAAUUCACGUAUCUGUCAACUCAGAUCCUUCACUUUUUGGGAAAUGAAGGGCCGAAGACAUCAGACCCUAGUAAAUACAUACGCUAUAUAUACAAUAGGGUGAUACUUGAAAAUGCCACUGUUCGAGCUAGUGCAGUAAGUACAUUGGCAAAGUUUGGUGCUUUGGUUGAUGCACUCAAGCCUCGCAUAUUUGUCCUUUUGAGGCGUUGCCUGUUUGAUGGCGAUGAUGAGGUCCGUGACAGAGCGACACUUUACAUCAAAUUGCUUGAUGGGGAAGCUACUGUUGGUGAGACUGAGAAGGAUGUGACUGACUUUCUCUUUGGUUCACUUGAUGUUCCACUAGCUAACUUGGAGGCCAGCCUGCGGAAUUAUGAACCAUCAGAGGUACCUUUUGAUAUUUCAUCUGUACCCAAGGAAACAAAAUCACAACCCCUUGCUGAGAAAAAGGCUACAGGCAAGAAAUCAACAGGGCCAGCAUCUGCUGUCAAUGGCCCUGUUCCUACCAUUGAUGCAUCCUAUGAGAAGCUUCUUUCAUCCAUUCCUGAGUUUGCUGGUUUUGGGAAACUCUUUAAGUCAUCAACACCUUUUGAAUUGACUGAAGCCGAGACCGAAUAUUCAGUCAAUGUUGUGAAGCACAUUUAUGAUGGGCAUGUUGUGCUUCAAUACAACUGUACAAAUACAAUACCUGAACAACUGCUUGAAGAGGUCGUGGUGUUUGUUGACGCUUCCGAGGCAGAAGAAUUUUCAGAAGUUGCAUCGAAGCCUUUAAGAUCCUUGCCUUACGAUUCCCCCGGACAGACCUUUGUGGCCUUUGAAAAGCCAGAAGGUGUCCUUGCCACUGGGAAGUUCUCAAAUAUAUUGAAAUUCAUUGUUAAAGAGGUUGAUUCGUCCACAGGUGAAGCUGAGGAUGAUGGUGUUGAGGACGAGUAUCAGCUAGAAGAUUUUGAAAUUAUUUCUGCUGAUUACAUGUUGAAGGUGGGGGUUUCGAACUUCCGAAAUGCUUGGGAAAGCAUGGAUCCGGAAAGUGAGCGGGUCGAUGAGUAUGGACUCGGUGUUAGGGAGAGCUUGGCCGAGGCUGUGAGUGCUGUUAUAAGCAUCCUCGGCAUGCAGCCUUGCGAGGGAACUGAUGUUGUCCAAAACAAUUCCAGAUCGCACACUUGCCUGCUCUCAGGUGUGUUUAUCGGUAAUGUGAAAGUUUUAGUGAGACUUUCAUUUGGAAUCAGCGGGCCCAAAGAAGUAGCCAUGAAGCUAGCAGUCAGAUCGGAUGAUCCGGAGGUCAGUGACAGGAUCCAUGAAAUUGUUGCGAACGGCUAA
rnacentral:rRNA from 1 species